UUUUUACCUUGUCAGCUCGGGGAUUCGAUCUUGCAACUUUUCGAUUACUAGUCCAACGGUCUAACCACUAGGCUACCCUGCCGCCCCAUGAGUGGCUACCUGGCAUCAUCUCUACUCUUUCACAGCCCUGUGUCCUCAUACGACUAGGUUUGUUCUGACCCUACCAUCACCCUUCACCCCCUCCCCACAUAACAACAGAAAGUUCUGACAGCCCAUUGGCUGUACUGCUCGCUGACACAGGAAGGAGGUCACAAUCAGGCUGCUGGUGGAAUUUUCCAUGUUACUGUGGUUGAGUGCUUUUGAUCAGAACGUUCUGGAAAGUUCCUAUUGCAUUCCGAGACUACAGCGGGCGGCAGCGAGAGAGAGAGGAGCAGUUAGAUGGUGUAUGUGUUGGGGUUAGUGGAGCGAAGCUGGGGCGGUGAUGGGGGGGGGGGGGGGGGGGGGGGCUGGUACUAUUAAUCCUAUUACAUCCCCUCUAUCACAUGUAGUGUGUGAGUCAGGAAAUGCUGUACCCCCCCCCCCCCCCCCCCCCCCCCGACAUUCCACUGUCGACGCUGUGGUCCGUGGCGUUCUAUUAGGACUACCCGUGUGCCCGUUAUUCACAGCCCUUCCUCCCUAAACGUACAAGAUAUUGAACUCAAUCCCACACCUUUACCUGCCUCUUUAGAGAGGACCUCACACCACCACAGUUUUGAUUUUGUAAACCUUUCGCUCCAAUAUCGAAAGAUGGGUCAUGAAAUUGUUCACCUCUGUCCGUGUACAGUCAUAUUGCUAUGUUCCAAACAGACAUCACAACAUUGCUGGCAGCUUUUCCCAGCUUUUCCUAAGUCCUGAUUUUAAAAUAUAAAGAUUAUUAUAAGCACACACACACACACACUCUCACACACACAAUCACACAGACAUACAUUCUAUCUGAUGGAAACCACACAUUGGUGUUAAUGACAGAGGUUGAUUGAGAAGUGUUUACAUAGCAUUUCAAUGGAGAAGCACAAAUAGCCCGAUCAUUAGUGGUUUACACACGUUUAUCCCUCCCUCUAGCCUAAGGCAGCGAUACUCAUUGUCUGUUGUCAGAAGCAUCGAUAAGGGACAGAAAAGCACACUGGGAGCUAAAGGCAAGUCAAUCUGGUCUGCAUUCAUCCACUCAGCACUUUGAACCUGGUGUUAUUAAACCUAACCCGCCCAUUCAUCAUCGCCCAGUUAUCUCUGUUAACCCGUCUGCCUGUGUCAGAUAGUGGAACCGUUACCUCGUCAGCCUCCACCCAGUGCCUUCUCUACCAACCACAGACCAGAGAGAUGGAUGUACAUUUGUACAGGCUGGUUACUGUUUGUUUGUUUUUGUUUGUUUGGCACACACACUCAUACUAAUGUGUGUGUGUGUACAUAUUAGACAGAGGGAGAGAAAUAUGACUCUUAGAUUGGAGCUAAACCCAUAAACGUAAAUACCAAGUUGUGUUUAGAGAUGACGAGGUGUUUAGAGAUGACGAGGUGUUUAGAGAUGACGAGGUGUUUAGAGAUGACGAGGUGUUUAGAGAUGACGAGGUGUUUAGAGAUGACGAGGUGUUUAGAGAUGUUGGAAAUGAUAUGACCGUUGCUACUUAAAGUUCUAUCUAUCUGUUGCUAUGGGGAACUUCAGCUAGUGAGAGGGCUUUGUGGGCUAGAUGUUGGUCUGUUGUAAAGGUUUGAAUGGCAAGUCCACAGAGUAAGAAUGGCGUUCCAAGUUGAAACUUUUAAAACCACCAUUUUGAUUCUCGACAAUUCAAGAUGUUAAAAAACAUAUAUGUUCCAAUAUCAUACUUUUGGUGGGUCUCUAUCUCUACAUAUGACCAGUACAGAUAGUUAAAUGGUGGGUGUCUGUCUCUACAUAUGACCAGUACAGAUAGUUAAAUGGUGGGUGUCUGUCUCUACAUAUGACCAGUACAGAUAGUUAAAUGGUGGGUGUCUGUCUCUGCAUAUGACCAAAUCACCAUAUCUUUAAGAAAUUAUAGAUAAUUAAUAUUUUAUUUAUUUUAUUAUGAUCGUUGUCAUUGUACAAAAAUACCCAGUUAGCUUUUUAGUCAAACGUUUUUUUAAAUGUUGUAAGUCGGGUAAAAACGAAGAGACUAUUUUGUUAACAGUAGAGCUGUAAAUGUCAGAAGGAGCUGGUAGUUGUCUGGUCUGUGUGUUUGACCACAGUCUACCUCAGGAGUUUUGGAGGAAUCACUACAGCAUCUCUCUCCGUCUAUUGGUCGUUAUCCCUGCAGCCCAAUCAGAGGACCGGGACACUGCCCACCCGUGACCACUGCUGUGACAAGAAUACGAUCACAAUAUAGAAUCCCAUUAGGUCCAACUCAAACAGCAAGUUUUCACCUAAUGUCAAGUCAGUCAUCUUUACAACCAAGUAGAUGAAUCCCCAGUGUAGUGUAAAGCACAACCUCAAAAGCAUUUUUAAACAUUGCCACAAACUCUGAUUUCAGUAGUAAUGUUAGUUAGGAACGGGUAAAUCGGGCCAGAAUGUGGUGUGAUGGCUUCAAACUAUUUAACUGGUGAUUAUCAUGCACGAAAGGUUAGGUUCCCGCUCCCUUUAUUUGCGUAGAAGCUCAGAAUCCCCAAGCAUCAGGUUUGGUUUGAUGUCCUUUUGAAAUGAACAGUUUCCUAGUUUAACAUACCCACUAGCUAUCUGAUAGUUGCUCUACUUAUCGACAUGCAUUGUUCUAGUGAAGACUUGAUUUUAUUCAAUUUUUUAGUUGUUGUUGAAAUUCUACAUCAAGACCGAGUCGUCCAAAUCAUGAAUGCAUAUCUUUUGAUCACAUACAUACAGCCAAAGUCUUCUAUAGCUCAGCUAUGUCUUGGUCAUGCUGUUCAUCAUUGACAGAAUAGAUUAUCUCCUCAGUGGUUGGUAUUUGGUGGGUGGGUGGUGUAUCUCUGAGAGUUCCUUGUCUGCUCAAGUCAGUCAAAUACGGGACGGCAUUCAGACUUGAGGCUUUUUUAUUUGUAUGUAUCUUCCAGAAGUGUUUUUUUUAUUUCUCUGUCGUCAGUUUGCAUUUAUGUUGUAUGUAUUAUUUUUCUACUGUGAAAAUACGUUAUUCUAUCGACGCCACGACGCGGUCUGUGUGGACGCUUGCAUGCCUCCGCUGGUUAAAGGACUGUUCCCUGAGAGAGCUGGACUAGGACAAUCCUUUGUGCCAUAAUAAACAGAAAAAUGUAUUCUAGAUUGUAACUUCUCAGGGAGGCAUGAGUUGUGGGGGGGGGUUGAGGGUGGAAAGAGCCACCUACCUACCUGUCUAACCUGAAGUGGAAGUUCUCUCGUCAUCCUAGCAAAUUAUCUUUUUUGUGGGGGGGGGGGGGGGGGGUGUAGCCAACAAGUUGUCAACAAACAAACAAACAACUGACCCUUUGUGAAUCAAUAUUUUUUUCAGCUCUUCAAGAUUAUGGACAUAAUGAUUAAAUGAAUGCUUGUUAUCAUUGUGAUCCGUGGUGUUCACUACCACCAGGUGGCUGGAUGUGAAAGUGCAGCAGCUGGACCGGUGCUCGUAGCCAGGGCUCUGUCCCAUAGUGCCUUGCUCAGACUGACCUCCCUCCUGACUACAUAGCCAGCCAGACCCUCAGUGCCCAGGACUGGACUAGUCUGCCCCGGGUCUGGACUAGUCUGGUCUGGAAUGCUCUGUACUAGACUAGUCUCCUCUGGACUGCUCUGCUCUAGACUGGACUGCUCUGUACUAGACUAGACUGCUCUGUACUAGACUAGACUGCUCUGUACUGCUCUGUACUAGACUAGACUGCUCUGUACUAGACUAGACUGCUCUGUACUAGACUAGACUGUCUCCUCUACUCGCUCAUCACCCAUAGUCAAGGAAUAUACCCCCAACGAACCCCCACAGCAGGAGAAUACUGGAGUAUCAACGCAUUAUGUAUUCUAAGACAGGAGAGAGGCGCCUUCUGUAACUCAUGGCUCCAGUCAGGAGGUAACACGUCCAGCUUGGCUGGAUUGAUGAUUCAUCAUAUUAUACUGUGUUGGGGUAAUUAUGUAAACGAUAUUCAUGGUUUAACCAAAAAAAAUGUUGAACUUCUUGUCUCUACUUGGGCGAAGCUCAGACUUGUUUUGUGCAUGAAUCCAAACCCCAAGCUGAUAGUUUGUUAAUUUGAUGCUAAUAGAAUUAUGUAUCUCGACCAACUCGCUUUGUUGAUUAAAACACAACACCCAAAGCACAUGGGAUCAUCUAUAAUUAGCAACAAUUGAAUGCAUGACAUGGGAGAAUAGACCUCCCAUUUUUAAAAUGCAUAAUAAAAUGUUAAUUUUAAAACGUUAAUAUUAAAACUAAUCAAAACUUUAACUGUAAAUAACGGCAGAUAUCCCUGAAAAAUAUAAGCACUUGAUUUAGGAAAAUGUAGUUUUAGUUUAAACUCUGAUAAGCUAGACAUGUGGUUUGCCAGAGCACGCUAGUGAUCCAGCAGCAGGUUAACCAUCAUUCUGUGUAUUGUUUCAAAAAGUAUUACAGUUAGAGAUGUUGAUUAAUAUUUUAAAUUUUGUGCCAAAAUAGAGGGCAAAUACAAUUACUUUUCUGACUGUAAACUUUUACUACUCUUGUACAUGAUUUGAAUUUUAACAUUUGUUAUCAAUGUAUAUAACUUUUUCUAAAUAAAAAUCAACAUUUUGUUUGCUCGUGA